GACGAACGCUGGCGGCGUGCUUAACACAUGCAAGUCGAACGAAGUGGCGAACGGGUGAGUAAUACGUGGGUAACCUGCCCUCCUUUUUGGGAUAAGCCUUGGAAACGGGGUCUAAUACCGAAUACAGGGGGAUGGGCUCGCGGCCUAUCAGCUUGUUGGUGGGGUGAUGGCCUACCACGGCGGUGACGGGUAGCCGGCCUGAGAGGGGGGCCGGCCACAUUGGGAAUGAGAGACGGCCCAGAGUCCGACGGGAGGGAGCAGGGGGGGAGAUUGCAAGAGGGGCGAAAGCCUGAUGCAGCGACGCCGCGUGGGGGAUGAAGGCUUGGGGGUGGUAAACCUCUUUCGCGAUCGAACGGGUGGGUGGAGAAGAAGCGCCGGCUAACUACGUGACAGCAGCCGCGGUAAUUC
rnacentral:rRNA from 1 species